rnacentral:tRNA from 1 species
UCCUCGAUGGUCUAGUGGUCAUGAGUAAGUUCUUAUCACGGGAGACCAGGGUUCGAUUCCCUGUCGGGGAG